rnacentral:rRNA from 1 species
AGAGCGAACGCUGGCGGCAGGCCUAACACAUGCAAGUCGAGCGCCCGUAGCAAUACGGGAGCGGCAGACGGGAUAGUAACACGUGGGAACGCGCCCUUCGGUUCGGAAUAACUCAGGGAAACUUGAGCUAAUACCGGAUACGCCCUUACGGGGAAAGAUUUAUUGCCGAAGGAACGGCCCGCGUCCGAUUAGCUAGUUGGUGAGGUAAUGGCUCACCAAGGCGACGAUCGGUAGCUGGUCUGAGAGGAUGACCAGCAUCACUGGGACUGAGACACGGCCCAGACUCCUACGGGAGGCAGCAGUGGGGAAUAUUGGACAAUGGGCGCAAGCCUGAUCCAGCCAUGCCGCGUGGAUGAUGAAGGCCUUAGGGUUGUAAAGUCCUUUUAACGGGGAAGAUAAUGACGGUACCCGUAGAAUAAGCCCCAGCUAACUUCGUGCCAGCAGCCGC